CUGCGUAGCGCCGUACGGCAUCGGUGCACAACUGCGGACCGGUCGGCCAUUUAUUUCUAAACUUCACUCCUUCGUCGACGGUGCUACAACUGCUCCACUCAAGACGUAUGCAUCGUGUCCUUCACAUCACCUCUAAAACCCGACGGCGAUCUUUGCCCGUUCGGUACGCCAUCGGCCGGCACAACGUUAAUAGGUUGGUUCAAAUUUCGACGGCGAGAACUUGUUGAUUCGGUACCGGUGAGCGUGCACUAUACUUCAGUCUCAUCAUGAAGGCCGGAGCGGUGGACACUGACCACAUCAUCCAGGGCAAGGGCAAUGGCUGUCCAUCGUGCAGAGUGUCCGAGACUGUAACUUUGUUACUAGUUGCUGCUUAUUUUUACUUCGGCUGCAAGCACGUGAAACCCGUGUAUUACUUCGGAACCACGAGUAUGUAUACAACGAUAGGUACAUCGAAUCGCGGACAUUACGUCCCCGUCAAUUAUUAAGAUUAGACGUUUGGUCCACUGAGAUUUUAAAUCGCUAUUUUUUAUUUUUUUUUAUUCGGUUUUAUUUGUAAAACACAAAACGUUAGUAUAAUUUAUAAUAAUAAAAUAUUACAAUAAGAUAAUAUAUAAGUUAUCAACAAUUCGAUUUUCAACAGUCGAAUUUAAUUUAAAUAAUAUAAGUAAACUAUAUAGGUACGGAUAUAAUAAAUUUACCUUAGUACAAUACAAAUACAUUUAGGUAUAUACUUAAUUAUUUAUAUUUUAAUAUUUCAGUUAGUAAUGCAUAACACAAAAAAAUAGGUUUUUUUUAAUUGAAAAUAAUGUAUAAUUGUAAGAAAAAUGGUAUAAGUUUAACAUUUCUACUCACAUUAUUCAAUAAGUUAUGAGUAGGGCCCGGAAGUUGUUGCAUUUUAAUGUUGUUUUUUUUUAGCUAUUUGUAAGUAAGCAUGACAGUGGCGUGUAUCAUACAAAAAAUUGGUGUUGCUGAAAUAAUUUUAGGUGACCUACCCCUCACAAUACUGUUAUACCAACCUCUAAAUUUUCCUAUAAUUCUUCUAUCAAUACCUACCCACCCAUAUUAAUUAAGGUGUUGCCUGAGCAACGCUUGGACCCUUGUUACACGCCACUGAAGCAUGAUAUUAAUUUAUUU